CGCCGCCGUCAGGCCAACGUCGUGCCGCCAUGCGCCUCCACUCCCUGUCUUCGCGACCAAUAGGACAGCCGCCCUUCUAUCCCUUUCAUCGCCUCACCGUGGUUGGAGCUAGCAGGACGUCCGCCGCCGCGCCGCAAGGCGCCUCAUCUCAGCGUCUUGAAGGCCAGCAGGAAAAGCCACCCUCCUCUCCCCGUUCGGAAUCACGAUAGAACAAAGAGGUAAUGAAACUCUUUUUUUCCCGACGAUACGCAUCCACCUCCUGCCGCCGCCCCGUGCAUAUCCUCCACGCCGCAGCCCGCGAGUGCCGCGCGAGCCUGCAGGAGAUCCAGAGAAAGGUAGAGAUCCAGUGCCAUGGUGAGCUCCAGCGUCGCCAACCCCGGCCGAUUCCACUGCACGGCGGCCUGAGAUGAAUUCAGCGGCGGCUAGGCCACCUCUUCCUCCGCCUAUGCCAUCUCUCGCCCCCACAAUGGUGUCACCCUUCUAUUCUACGAUCUCGACUAGAUGAUUAGCAUUCAUCUUGGUGGAAAUCAGCAUGCUGAAUCUUCGCGUUGGUUUGCUGAUUUACCUGAGCCACCCGUCCAGAGGCCAAGGCUGUGGCGUACUGUCCGUGCCGAUUUUUGAAUUUACUUUCGUUUUUAUGUAGAUUUUGUUGUCUCUUAUUUCUAUUCUCCUAUCCGUGCAAAUUUGUACACAGAAGAAUUCCUCUGUUGUAUAAUUCCUAACACUAAUCAGAAGUUGUCUAUGGCAAUUUUGGGAUUCAGCUCACUUAAAUAUGGUUGCCAUUUCAGGUACUUCUCAUGGUACGUGUCACUGCCGAUCGUGCUAAGGAUUCCUCAAAUUUUGACAACUUGAUCAAGGAGGAGAUAUUGUCACCAGAUGCAGUUACUUUUCCUGGAUAGACAAAUCAAAAAUUUGUGUGCCAACUUCCAAGCGCACUUCAUUACAGGAUAUAACCAACGGGCAAAACCAAGGUACAGAAAGUGUUAACAAGCCUCAUUUAGCUGUGGAAUUCCUUCUCAUCAGCCAGUUGUAAAGAAGCUAGAGUAUAAAAUCUCAACAUGCUCUCAGACUUGCAACAAGUAAUGGGAGGUCAGAGUGAAAAAAGUUGGCAGUAAGAAGGAUGAUACACCGCUGAAAACUUUGAAGCUUCAGGCUAAUCUUCACGUGACGCUGAAUGAUCCCUCUUUUCAUGUUGUUUUGGUCUGAGGUGUGACGCUUCUACGAUAAGAAUAUUGUUAUGUGCAAGGAAGCAAAAUAAAGAUAAGCAUGCACUACCGUUGGAAGAAGUUCAGCUGAAACUGCUGGACCGGGUGAAUGGAACUAUUAGUCUGAUGUAAGGUCCCUUCCACUUUCUCUUCUAGAUAAUUUUUGGAUGAAUACAAGCUGGUAUUUUCGGAUGAAUAAUACCAUUGUGUUACCUGAUCCAUUCACUCUUAGAGCUGUGAUCGUGCAGCUAUACAUGACUCACAACAGAGAUCUUACUUUGGAGACUUAAGUUCAUCAACAUGUAUUUUCCAUAUAUUUGCUCUCUUCUUACUUUUUGAUAUUUGAUUCUUGUAUAAUAUAGAUUUAACCAUCAUUCGGUGUGUUUUCCUGAUAUAUGAUCACUUCCCUUAUUCAAUAUAUGAGUACAUUUACCUUCUGUCUAUUUCACCUAUGUUUUUUUAACAAGCCGAAGUGUUUGGAAUGCUUCGGUAUCUUUUUGGGAGUUGGUACUCAUGCAUUUGAAUUAUGCGCGUUGUGAUGUUAGCAUGUGAAGAACCUUACGGGUAGUCUUGGAAAUUAGGUUUUUGGCUGGAGAGAUAGUUUUGUUCCAAACUUUAUAUAUUCUGUUAUUUAUAACAUCCUUCAAAAACUACAUAUAAUGGUAUACAUUUCAGAUUCAGUGAUCGAUGUUAACUAUGAAGACUCCAGAAACAUGACCAAGCCAUACCCUUUUGUUUAAUUUGUUCUUCCGCAGUCUGUGGUUUUUGUUUGACAUCAAUGACAGAAUUUGCAUGAAGUUCCCUUCCUUGACGGCAUAUAGGUUUCACUUAUGCUCUGGCUGAUGUCUUCGCUAACAUCAAGCUUGGUAUAUAGAUUCAGAGAUAAGCAUUUUCUCGCUAACAUCAAGCUUGGCAUAUAGAUUCAGAGAUUAGCAUUUUCUUCGCUAACAUCAAGUUAUAAGAUGUUAUUCAUCAUCUGGCUGAUGUCUUCACUCUUAAAUUAGUUGAGACUUAUUUUUAUCACUCUGUUGUAGGUUUAAAGUUGGUAGGGAUUGUUAGCUUUUACCACUGUGAUCUGGUGCCUAUAAAAAUCGAAUAGACAUGUUUUCAUUUCAGGGACAGGCUUGGAGAGUGCGUCAUCUCCACCUUGGCUAAAUUGUUAGUUAUUCAUUCUUUGUUGAAUAAUCAGUUUUAAGAUAUAUCAUGUGUCCGUCAUGAGAGUUACUUGUUGUAUUCUCAUGCACUUUGAUGUUCAUCAAUUAAUUAGUUUGACAAGACAGCAAAGCAAUCAAAUUGCUUCGUGUACUUUCAAAGUAGAAUAUAUAACUAUGUACAUGUACAUUGUACAACUUCCUUUUGCACGAGGAUGUCAAAUUUGUA